rnacentral:rRNA from 1 species
UGGGGAAUCUUGGACAAUGGGCGCAAGCCUGAUCCAGCCAUGCCGCGUGAGUGAAGAAGGCCUUCGGGUUGUAAAGCUCUUUUGUCAGGGACGAUAAUGACGGUACCUGAAGAAUAAGCCCCGGCAAACUUCGUGCCAGCAGCCGCGGUAAUACGAAGGGGGCUAGCGUUGUUCGGAAUUACUGGGCGUAAAGCGCACGUAGGCUGAUUGUUAAGUCAGGGGUGAAAUCCCAGAGCUCAACUCUGGAACUGCCCUUGAUACUGGCAAUCUCGAGUCCGGAAGAGGUUAGUGGAAUUCCCAGUGUAGAGGUGAAAUUCGUAGAUAUUGGGAAGAACACCAGUGGCGAAGGCGGCUAACUGGUCCGGUACUGACGCUGAGGUGCGAAAGCGUGGGGAGCAAACAGGAUUAGAUACCCGAGUAGUCCCUGAGCGGGCUGGCAAGGCGCAU